rnacentral:lncRNA from 1 species
AUUAGGAUAGGGAAAAAUCAACUCUCUGUAUUACUAAGGAUUCAAGUUGCUUUAGAUUUCAUAUAUACAAAUAUGCAUACACAUGCACAGAUUAUUUUAUGUAUAUGAUAUAUACAAUUCAAGAAUACAUAGUAAAAUAUUAAACGUCUGAAGAAUUUAAGCUAUUCUAAUUUUGAAGAUAAGGAAUAUUUUAUGGGUGAAAAGAAAUCAAGACAGACAAUUUGAGGAGAAAACUAGGUGAUCAGGAACAACAGAGUCCAGGCAAUUAUAAAUAAAUUACUGCUCAUAAUAAGUAUUCAUAGGUUGAACAUAUUAUUAUUUUUGUAAGGGAGGGACAUGGAAAAUUGUCUACUUUUACAUAAGGCCACACUGUAUGUCUGGAAGUAAUCAAAUAAUCUUGGUGUAAAAUAAAAUAAAAUUAAGUUUCAAACAUUAACAUUAACAGGUGUCAAGAGGAAAAUGAGAAAAAAGCAUAAAAGAAGCAUAAACUAAUGUGUAUAUAAACACGUAGCCUGAAGACCACGAGGAAACAUGCUACAAAUGAAGAAGUAAUAACAAAUCCACAGUCAUAUGAGGCCACUGAACCAAGAACAACCAUUUGUACUGUGGAUUUCAGGACCACGGUUGCCAAAGCUGGAGUUCCAAGUGGCACCAGGACAACAGUGCUCCCCUUUGUGGUGUUUAUGAGACAAAAUUCAACGUGACCAGCUGCCUCAUGUUCCUGUUAUCCUGCCUAGCUCAGCGAACUCUGAGGCAAAAUUAGAAAACAAGUAUUUUGUUUUCUUUCAUUGCCUACAUUAUAUAAUGAGACAUCUUAAAUGUUGAGUAACUUAACUGCUACUUGUGGGCAGAUUUAUUUAUACAUCUCAAGUUUUCUGCAAAAUUAAAAUAUGUGUAUGAAAAAGACACCAAAAUAUGUGUUCUCUAGAUGCAACUUGUCC